rnacentral:rRNA from 1 species
GACGUAGGGGGCCAGCGUUGCUCGGAUUUACUGGGCGUAAAGGGCUCGUAGGCGGUGUGGCAAGUCGGAAGUGAAACCUCCAGGCUUAACCUGGAGGCUGCUUCCGAAACUGCCGUGCUAGAGUGCGGGAGAGGCCAGUGGAAUUGCAGGUGUAGCGGUGAAAUGCGUAGAUAUCUGCAGGAACACCCGUGGCGAAGGCGGCUGGCUGGACCGCAACUGACGCUGAGGAACGAAAGCUAGGGGAGCAAACAGG